rnacentral:lncRNA from 1 species
UUCGAUCUUACUAAGCAUGAAAAUGCUUACCCCUCUCUUUUUCCCUGUUCCACAGAGCUCGAGGACUCGAAAGAGUUGGAAGACGAUUGGAGAGUCAACUCACUAUCAACUAGACAAGCUUUGGUAUAAAGACUUUGUUUGUUUUGUUCAAUCGCAUGUAUAGUGUUUUUGAGUAUUUUGUUAUAUGUGUCAUUUGAUUUGCCAAAUGAAGGCAUGUAAA